GUGCCAGCCGCCGCGGUAAUACCAGCCCCGCGAGUGGUCGGGACUCUUGCUGGGCCUAAAGCGCCCGUAGCCGGCCCGGUAAGUCCCUCCUUAAAGCCCCGGGCUCAACCCGGGGAGCGGGGGGAUACUGCCGGGCUAGGGGGCGGGAGAGGCCGGGGGUACCCCAGGGGUAGGGGCGAAAUCCGAUAAUCCCUGGGGGACCACCAGUGGCGAAGGCGCCCGGCUGGAACGCGCCCGACGGUGAGGGGCGAAAGCCGGGGGAGCGAACCGGAUUAGAUACCCGGGUAGUCCCGGCUGUAAACUAUGCGGGCCAGGUGUCGGGCGGGCGUUAGAGCCCGCCCGGUGCCGCAGGGAAGCCGUUAAGCCCGCCGCCUGGGGAGUACGGCCGCAAGGCUGAAACUUAAAGGAAUUGGCGGGGGGGCACACAAGGGGUGGAGCCUGCGGCUCAAUUGGAGUCAACGCCGGGAACCUCUACCGGGGGCGACAGCAGGAUGACGGCCAGGCUAACGACCUUGCCCGACGCGCUGAGGGGAGGUGCAUGGCCGUCGCCAGCUCGUGCUGUGAAGUGUCCUGUUAAGUCAGGCAACGAGCGAGACCCCCGCCCCUAGUUGCGACCCUGCGGGCGACCGCGGGGGCACACUAGGGGGACUGCCGCCGCUAAGGCGGAGGAAGGAGGGGGCCACGGCAGGUCAGCAUGCCCCUAAACCCCCGGGCUGCACGCGGGCUACAAUGGCGGGGACAGCGGGAUCCGACCCCGAAAGGGGGAGGCAAUCCCUGAAACCCCGCCGUAGUUGGGAUCGGGGGCUGAAACUCGCCCCCGUGAACCUGGAAUCCCUAGUAACCGCGCGUCACCAUCGCGCGGUGAAUACGUCCCUGCCCCUUGUACACACCGCCCGUC
rnacentral:rRNA from 1 species